rnacentral:rRNA from 1 species
CCUACGGGAGGCAGCAGUGGGGAAUAUUGCACAAUGGGGGAAACCCUGAUGCAGCGACGCCGCGUGAGUGAAGAAGUAUUUCGGUAUGGAAAGCUCUAGCAGCAGGGAAGAAAAUGACGGUACCUGACUAACAAGCCGCGGCUAACUACGUGCCAGCAGCCGCGGUAAUACGUAGGGGGCAAGCGUUAUCCGGAUUUACUGGGUGUAAGGGGAGCGUAGACGGCAGCGCAUGUCUGGAGUGAAAUCCGAUGGCUUAACCAUGGAACUGCUUUGGAAACUGUGCAGCUGGAGUGAAGGAGAGGUAAGCGGAAUUACUAGUGUAGCGGUGAAAUGCGGAGAUAUGAGGAGGAACACCAGUGGCGAAGGCGGCUUACUGGACUGUAACUGACGUUGAGGCUCGAAAGCGUGGGGAGCGAAAAGGAUUAGAUACCCGAGUAGUC